rnacentral:sRNA from 1 species
AUGCCCCUGGACCCUAUAUAUAGCUAAACCCGUCGCCGAUUAGGGCAAGUCCUUGGACCCUGGGAGAGGCCUGUGGUGCCGGUGUGGCUGCUUGGUGCUAGCACUGCGUAGAAGUGGAGCCCCAGAUGGUGGGCAGGAAUUAGCACUAAUUGUUGCAAAUUCGAUUUUUCCCAAUACAGCUACUAGCCCCCUCAACCUCGAAUGUAACGAGAAAAAAAAAAAGAAAAGAAAAGAAAAGAACAAGAAAUCACUCGGUUGAUCAAUUUCUUUUGCGUUGAACCUUGGAAAAAGAAGAAUAAAUAUUGAUUACAAUUUUUGACCAAAAUACACUAAAUAGGAUAACGAGAGCGGGAGAGAGAGAGAGAGAGAGAGAAAAUAGAUAUUGGUAUUCACUUUAAUUUUAGAUGGUUACUAUUAAGACGGGUUCUUUUUUUCCGACUCCCUUGUAUAUUAUUAACAGAGGCGGACAUUGCAAUCACGGGCGCGGGCAGAUACUAGGGACAAGAAGAGGAAGAACGGGGACAAGUUAAAAUAAAAAGAGACAGAGGUGUUUUGUUUUUGUUUUCCCGAUAUCUCUAAUUCACUCCAAUUUUUAUUUUUUAUUUCAAAGGAGGCAAGUAAGUACGGGAAGUCCUCCUAUAGGAUUCGUUUCGUUAUGAUGCUGUUGGUUCUCUUUUGUUAUUAGAGGACGCUUCUUUCCCUACUGCUCGCUGUUGAUUGCUAUUUGCCGGCGUCGACCUUGGCAAUGUAAGCGAUGAGGUCGACGACGCGACGGGAGUAGCCCCACUCGUUGUCGUACCAGGAGAUGAGCUUGAUGAAGUGGUCGUUGAGGGCGAUGCCAGCGGAGGCAUCGAAAAUGGAGGAGCGGGAGUCGCCGUUCAAGUCAGAGGAGACGAGAGCGUCUUCGGAGUAGCCGAGGAUGCCUUUGAGCUCGCCCUCAGAGGCUUUCUUGAUGGUCUGCUUGAUCUGAUCGUAGGUGACGGGUUUCUCGGUUUUGCAGGUCAAGUCAACGACGGAGACGUUGGCGGUGGGCACACGCAUGGACAUGCCGGUGAGCUUGCCGUUGAGGGAUGGGAUGACCUUGCCGACGGCCUUGGCGGCGCCUGUGCUGCUGGGGAUGAUGUUCUGAGCAGCGGUGCGGCCACCACGCCAGUCCUUGGAAGACGGCCCGUCGACGGUCUUCUGGGUGGCGGUGUAGGAGUGGAUGGUCGUCAUGAGGCCCUCGGUCAGGCCGAAGUUGUCAUUGAUGACCUUUGCAAGCGGGGCGAGGCAGUUGGUGGUGCAGGAGGCAUUGGAAAGGACGUUGACGCUCGGGUCGUAUGUUUUCUCGUUGACGCCCAUGACGAACAUGGGGGCAUCUGCAGAGGGAGCGGAGAUGAUGACCUUCUUGGCACCGCCUUUCAAGUGGGCGCUGGCCUUCUCGGUGGUGGUGAAGACGCCAGUGGACUCAACGACGUAUUCCACACCGUGCUUGCCCCAGGGGAUGUUCGCGGGGUCUCUCUCUUGGUAGAACGUGACAGCCUUGCCAUUGACGGUCAAGCCAUUGCUGUUGACCUCGAUGGUGCCCUUGAACUGGCCAUGCGUGGAGUCAUAUUUGAGCAUGUAGGCAGCAUAGUGGGUCUCAAUGAAGGGAUCGUUGACCGCAACGACGUCAACCUCGCCGUGCUCGAUAGCAUUCCGGAAGACAAUACGCCCAAUACGACCGAAGCCGUUGAUUCCGACCUUGACGACCAUGUUUUCUGGAUAUGGAUAGAUGGAUGGAUGGAGUGAGUUGACAGAAGCAAAAGCACGAUGGUGGGGUAGAACUGUUGGUUUUUCAGGAGGAGAGGAAGAGAAUAAAAUUGUUGGGGGACAAACCGGAUCUGGCGGGGUAGCUCGGGAUGUGGAAGGAAAGUUCCGGGAUCAGGCAGAGGGGGAACAGAAACAAGGGACACACCUAUAUAUAUAUAUAUAUAUAUAUAUAUAUGUAUGUAUGUAUGUAUGUAUGUAUGUAUGUAUGUAUGUAUGUAGAUAGAUAAUGCGCUGGAGAGACAGAACAGGAGAUUGACAGAAGAAUAUACAGAAUCCUAUCUUGGAUGAGAGAGGAAGAUAAACCAAACGAAGAAUUGGCCUCAACAGGCGGGGUGGGCGGCGGGCCACAUAAAUACCAGUAUUCAAAUCAUCGUCAUGCUUGGAUGCGGCGGGUUUUGACGCAAUGAUUACAAAAAGCCCUCGAGGCUAGGCUGUAGAACGCAAAAAGCAAAAAUAGGAGGAAAGAAAAAUAAAAUGAAAUAGAUCCAUCCCCGAACUAUCCAACAGGACUUCAACAACCCCCAAUUAUCGUUCACUGAGCUCAACCUUGCAUCCUCUCGCACCAGAUUGCUCCUGGCUGGCUGCCUCGCCGGCUUGUUCCGUACCCAGCAAUUUCGGUAUUUCCUGGUUGGUUGGUUGGUUGGUUGUUUUGUUUUGUUUUUCAAUGAUCUUUUUCUCUUCUCUUCUCUUCUCUUUCUUUCAAGUCGAGCUGUGAGUCAAUUGAUUGAUCUAGUUAUCCAGGAGUUCAACUGUAUUCUCACCCCUCUCACCCCUCUCCCGGCUCGAUAUGUUUCUUUUUUGAUUUCUUUUUUCAUCAACUACCCCUCCACACCAUCUGGUCAAUGACAUAUCCACCCCGGCCACAGCCACAAAAGAUUAGGGAAACCCCUUGAACUUGCCCUAUCUAUCCCUCCCAGGCAAAUAUUGAGUACUGCAAUAUCGCCCAUUGGAACAAACAGACCAUUCAACUAUCCAGUCUGACAAAUGUUACUCAUGGGAGUCGAGAAACCCGCAACUCGCCGCCCCUUUCCCAUUAAAUUGCUAUUACUAAUCUCCAUCGUCAUCUGCGCUCCGCUGCGGAUUUUUCUUCUUCUUCUUCUUCUUCUUCUUCUUCUUCUUCUUCGUCUUCUUCUUCUUUCUUCUUCCUUGUCGUCGCAAUCUGGAAUGCUCCGUCUACAAGAACUGCAUCGAUUAGCUUAGCCCUAGCCCUAGCCCUAGCCGUAGCACAGAGCUGCAGACCCACGUAGAUCAGGGGUCGGAUUUGCUUGCGCUCUCUCCCUCCCGUGAGAUUCUCGCGUGCUCCAGGGCACUCUCUUUGAUGUUUCUUCCAUUCCCACGGCUCUGUAAUCCGUAUCCGUAUCCAUUAUAAAUUUGGAAAACCAGCGUGUGGCUUGCGGAAUAUAUCAGAUAGGUAGAUAUCGAAAAGAAAGGAGAACGCCAUUCAUUGUACUGUACAUACAAAUGCAAUACGUACCAUCCGCAGGCGCGGGUUGAUUGAUAGAUGCUCGACACCAAAAAGAGAAAGAGAAAAAAAAAAAAAAAAAAUGGUGAGGUGGGGAGGGGAAAUAUCUAUUAGAGCGAUAAUUUUUGUAUCCCGCAUGUCCUGAAGUUGCCGGGAAAAAGAGGGCAAAGAAAGGGAAAUAAAGGAAAAAGGGAAAAGAACACGUUCCCGGCACAUUUUUGUAAUAACCCCCCACCGCCCCCCGGGUCUAAAGAAUGGGAAGCAAAAGAAAGAAGCAGACGAAGAAGACAAAAAGAAGUAUGCCAUGCAUCCGACAGGUUACUACUCCUACUCCUCCUUUGCACCGCCUCUCCACUUCUUCUCCGCAGACUCGACACUGGCGCGAUCCUUCUUCACCUCGCCCUGGGCCAUCCCAAGCAGGCCCCCCGCCGCCUUCCACGGCCGCUCCAAUUCGCCCUUGUCCGACAUGCCGAACACGUGGAUUUUGACCAGGUUGCCCUCGAGCGCGGUCUUGAAGGGGAUGAUCGACUGGAUCACUAGCGGGUUGGUGUACUUGAAGUACAGGUGCAUCACGCACAUCAUGCCCACGCCCAUCAGCUGGCCCUUGAGGAGAGAGCGGAGUUGCUGCUUGUCGUAGUCCUGGACGGUGGUGAUGACGGGCCGCGGCUCUUCACCCGAUCCCAUAGCAGGGGGUUCGACGUAUUUGAGGGUUCUGAGGUCUUUCUUCUUGAUUAUUUGGUGUCGCACAUACAUGUACAGCGCCAUGAUCAAGACGUUGGAAACGACAUACAUAGAGCGCACGCCCAAGAGAACAGAAGGGUUGUCGAAGGGGAUUUUCUUCGACACCUGCAUCAUCACAAGGAUGAUCACCAGGUUAAAUACUUGCGGGUUCAGCGCCAUGAUGACGAGUGGAGAUGGCGAUAUUGGUGAGAAGAAGAAAUCAAAUACAAAUAGAGAGAUAUGAAGCAAGAGCCCAGUUUCCGAGUUUGUGUUGGCUCUUCCUUCGAAGGCUUGGGGCAGAACAAACUCAAGGCGCAAAACCUUGAAGCGACAACUGGCCCCAAGAGCCGAUGAGGCGCAAUAUCACGUGGUUUACUUCCUAGUUUUGUGGAUUUUCUUGGCAAGCUUUUGAGCUUCAAUCGCCUCAACCACCGUGAUAUGAUCUCAAAAGCUUCUUCAUCGGGAUCUAGGGCAAUGAGCUGAGAAAUAACCGAGGUAGAAUGGUCCAUCCAAUGCCGAAUUUCUCCCGGCCCUUGAGCUGGAUCUGAAUAGUCUGCUCGUGUGCGGGGAUAGCGUUGGAGAUACUAUGCUGCCCAGACAGUACUUCUUGAUAUGACUUUAUUGCAAAUCAAGGGUCUUAGUCUGUCUGCAAUACCCAGGACUCAGUAUGGGUAGUCUUUGGGUUGUACCAGAGGCACUGGUCAAGGACCCUGCCACGGUGCGGGAUAUGUAAUAUGUAUCCAGAUUUGUUGGUUGAGGAGCACAUAGCAGCGCUAGGACCAGGGAAGCUCUGCAUACGAGCAAAGCCUGGUAGCAGGAAGAACCUUUUUGCUGCACUGCUCAUGGCUCAUCGAUUCUGCAAUUUCUCUAAGGUUAAGGAGUGGCUUAACCUGAUAGUCAGUUUGGAGAUGAGAGGGUGGACAAUACCGCUGAUUCUGCUCUAUCAUUCGAAAGACGAUCCGCUGACUCCCUAGCAAUAUACCGAGGAGUGAGCCGCGAAACUCAGGAAGAUGAAGCCAGAUGGCGCGCAUUCAUUGGAAUUUCUGCAGAACUACUGGCCUGAUCGAUACAAUUAAUUUCUGAAAUUCCGCCAAAUCAUAAGUAUGCGCUCUUGAUAUUCCUGAUCUAAUGUACCCGUGUUGCCUUCGUUUAAAAAAUCAGGUCUGAAUACACUUCUCUGCCAGACGUAGGCCAUACACAGUGACAGUGUGAUCUAAAUGAACAUGCGAUUAGCACAGAAUAGCAGAUAUUUUGGGCCGACAUGACUCACCCCCAAAACCCGCAAAAGGCGCCAGCGGAUUUUCUCCAUGGCCUUUAAAAUCAACGUGUGCGCCAUCCGCUGCUACACAAGCCUAUAUUAUUUUUCUGAUCAGCCUUGUGAUGGGGGUCCACGUCAACGGCAAUGCAGACACCACCUCCAAGCUCACCUUUGACCCUAACAGAUCUCCAUCUCCAUCACCAACCUUCCAUCACCGCCUUAUUGACCAGCCCCAACCAAUCCCCCAUCUGGAAACAGCAUGGGCAAAAGGACAUGAUGAUCAGGUCGACGGAGACGAGUUCAUCGCACUGCGAACCUUUUGAACAAGGGCGGACAUAGGAUUUACCGGGGUGGCGACAGAAUUCGUAUACUUCCGUGACGUCUUCGCACAUGCCUUUGCUCUUUUUCCCUUUCAACUUAAUGGGGGGAUUUGUAGUGUGUAGGGUCUUAACAACUGUCUUGGGAGUUGGAUGGACUCUAUCUGAUGAGCCUUUUUUGUUCAAAUAGGGGGGCCGCCUUGGAUUCCAAGUUGUAUCGAAAACAAACUAUUUUACAGGUAAAGAAAGCUUUUUUUUUUUUUCAAUGGUAAGGAAGGCAACAAUAUUUUCUUUGAUAUUGCUUUGUUUCCCUACUUUCUACAUCAUGACAAAGGCGUGGUAGUCUGUUGAUAGAUGAAUAUAGGAUAUAAUGGAAGUAAAAAGACGUUUGGCUUCUUCAAUAUUCUUAGAAUUCGGUAAAGAUCAGAGACACUCACAAUCAUCUUUCAGAUUCUUGUAGUAAAGCUAAGAAGAUCUCGUUGCGGAAUGGGUUUUUAGUCGUACCUAGUAAACAUAGAAAUCACGUGGAUAGAUGAUGAUAUAAUCAGAGAACUUGCUCCUCCGCCUUGCCUUGGCCCAACAGCUUGAAUCCUCCACGAUUGUGUGUUGUUGGAAGGCAAUAGAACAUUCAGCCAGGGCAUGGCAAUGAACUGUGGUUAUGUCGGCUCUAGGUACUGUCCUACCAUCACCUGAAGACUGUAUCUACUCUGCCGCCAUGUCAUAUCUUUUCCUAACCAGCGGUUUAAGGCUCUCAGGACUCUCUACCUGGGAUGCGAGCUGGGAAUCCUCAGCGCACUAUGUCGUGCUACCCAUGGGGAUGUCUGGAAACUGACCAGACAGAAAAACGAGGCUCUUCCUGCUAUUUCUAUUCUGUGAGCUGUAUUGGCAGCUCCAUUCUGUCCAUAUUGCUGUCCCUUCAACAACAUAUAUCUCUGCUUCACUGAAGCUUCUGAUAUUCGGUGUUCUGGGACCGAUGAGGCAAGUGCCGGAUUAGGACUAGUGCACUUUUGUCCUUCAACGCUAUUUCCUAACUUUUUCUUAAGCGAUCACAAAGUUCGCUGGUGAGUUUCUGGUCUCCAUCAUCCGUCCAUCAUCAUCAACAACGCGAACUUUGCCACACUGCUACUCCAUCCCCUCGUCCACGCUCAUCCGCCACAGGUUCUGUUCAUCGCCCGACGCGACAUAUUUGUUCCUGCGACUCGAUAUCUGCCUUUUGUUCGACAUGCCUGGUGGUAAAGGAAAGUCUAUUGGAGGGAAGGGCGGUCCAAAGGAUACGGCGGGGAAAACUCAAAAAUCUCACAGUGCAAGGGCUGGCUUACAUUUCCCUUGCGGUCGUGUCAAGCGCUUUUUGAAGAAUACCACGCAAAACAAGAUGCGCGUUGGUGCUAAAGCCGCCGUUUACGUCACCGCUGUUCUUGAAUAUCUUAUUGCUGAAGUUCUCGAACUCGCAGGUAACGCCGCCAAGGAUCUCAAAGUCAAGCGUAUCACACCCCGCCACCUUCAACUCGCGAUCCGUGGUGAUGAAGAGUUAGAUACCCUCAUCCGCGCGACAAUCGCGUUUGGAGGUGUCUUACCUCGUAUCAACCGGGCGCUACUCCUUAAGGUCGAACAAAAGAAGAAGAACAAGACUACGGAAUAAAUGACGAACUAAGAAAAAAAAACCCCCAAAAGCCGUCGCAAGCCUAUCUAACGUGGACAUGUUUUGAAACUGACAAACAAUGCGCGCCAUUCGAAUUUGAUCGCUUUCUCCUUUGUUAUGUUUUGCUGCGACUUGCCUUCUAUGUUCUAUCCAGUUUUCUUUUCCCCAGCACUUGAGCUUGCGGCUCGCGUCGUACAUACGCCGGGUUUGAGCGGAGCGAUUGGUACUCAGCCGGGAACUGACGGCGCAUACAACACGUUACCUUCGUCUUGCGAAUAUAUGCCUAGGUAUUCAUGAUACCCUCUGGAGUCUUUCCUUUCGCUAUUCCCGUUCCUCCGUGUUCCAAUCGGGUUAUAUGAGCGUCUGCACUUGUUCUGUGUCAAUAUGGUCUCUUUCUCUUCUCCUAGGUUAUGGAUUGCUUUACCGUUGCUAUUUUCCUCUUCCUCUUUAUUUUUUCCUAGGGCGCUAUAAUGGGAAAGGUGGCUGGGUUGGCCGGAUGAAAUAUCGUGCAGGGUAUGGGACUGGAAAUAAAAAACAUCCGCCUCACCCGCGACUUACUUUAUGCUUUUUUCUUUUUGUUUUUUUGCCUUGUGUUCCGUUCUUAAUCCUUUCUUCCCCUUAUACUAUCUCCUCUAUCCUGUAUUGCCUAAUAUUUAUAUUGUGGCGUUUUGCUUUUUGUUUGUCUGUGACAUUGUCUACACUCGCUGUAUAACUAUAAGGGUACCCAUUCGGUGGAAUAUAUCCUAGCAUAAUACAGAAAUUGCGGCUUUAUUUCAGUACCCUCCUGUAUUUGAAUAAAUCGGAUUUUUCCGGUGCAUCGUACAGUAGAUGGGCUUGAAUAUGUAGGUUGUACAGGGUCGUAUAUGUACUGUACAAGGUAAAUUUGGCAUCAAGCCAAGAUUUGGUGCAUGGUGGUUUCUAAAAAUCGCCAGAACAAACACCGGGAAAGGACUUGGGUUUCAUAUCACCGUAGCAAGGGGGUAUGUUUCCUUUAAGCCAUGACCAAUCAGCAUGGUUUCAUCAUAGAAAACGGCCAUGCCUAUGGUGGUUG